rnacentral:rRNA from 1 species
UACGGGGGGCGAAGCGUUGUUCGGAAUUACUGGGCGUAAAGGGCGCGUAGGCGGUCAGAUAAGUCAGCUGUGAAACCUCGGGCUUAACCCGAGGCCUGCAGUUGAAACUGUUUGGCUGGAGUGUGGGAGAGGAGAGUGGAAUUCCCGGUGUAGCGGUGAAAUGCGUAGAGUAUCAGGAGGAACACCUGCGGUGUAGACGGCUUUCUGGACCAUUACUGACACUGAGGACACGAAAGCGUGGGUAGCAAACAGG